rnacentral:snRNA from 1 species
UAUUGCUUCGGCAAUACAUAUAAUAAAAUUGGAGCGAUACAGAGAAGAUGAGCAUGGCCCGUGCAUAAGGAUGACACACAAAAUCGUGAAGCGUUCACUUUUUUU